rnacentral:rRNA from 1 species
GACGAACGCUGGCGGCGUGCUUAACACAUGCAAGUCGAGCGGUAAGGCUCCUUCGGGAGUACACGAGCGGCGAACGGGUGAGUAACACGUGAGUAAUCUGCCCUUCACUUCGGGAUAACCACCGGAAACGGUGGCUAAUACCGAAUACGACCAGUCUUCGCAUGAGGUGCUGGUGGAAAGUCUUUUCGGUGAAGGAUGUGCUCGCGGCCUAUCAGCUUGUUGGUGGGGUAAUGGCCUACCAAGGCUUCGACGGGUAGCCGGCCUGAGAGGGUGACCGGCCACACUGGGACUGGGACACGGCCCAGACUCCUACGGGAGGCAGCAGUGGGGAAUAUUGGACAAUGGGCGAAAGCCUGAUCCAGCAACGCCGCGUGAGGGAUGACGGCCUUCGGGUUGUAAACCUCUUUCAGUACCGACGAAGCGCCCUGUCGGGUGGUGACGGUAGGUACAGAAGAAGGACCGGCCAACUACGUG